rnacentral:sRNA from 1 species
GGGAGUAGUCGCUUCACGCAAGUGAGGGAGUACAUCAACAUAACUGACCCGCAGGUCAUGGUGUAUUCAACUUAGUUCGAGAUUAAUAGUCCGAAGCUAAGUU